GACGAACGCUGGCGGUGUGCUUAACACAUGCAAGUCGAACGGUAAGGCCCUUUCGGGGGUACCCGAGUGGCGCACGGGUGAGUAACACGUGAGUAACCUGCCCUCCUCUCUGGGAUAACAGUCGGAAACGGUUGCUAAUACUGGAUAUGAGCUUGCAAGGCAUCUUGUGGGUUGGAAAGAUUUUUUUUGGUUGGGGCUGGACUCGCGGCCUAUCAGCUUGUUGGUGAGGUAGUGGCGCACCAAGGCUUCGACGGGUAGCCGGCCUGAGAGGGCGACCGGCCACAUUGGGACUGAGAUACGGCCCAAACUCCUACGGGAGGCAGCAGUGGGGAAUAUUGCACAAUGGACGGAAGUCUGAUGCAGCAACGCCGCGUGCGGGAUGACGGCCUUCGGGUUGUAAACCGCUUUCAAUUGUGACGAAGCUUUUUUGUGACGGUAGCAGUAGAAGAAGCACCGGCUAACUACGUG
rnacentral:rRNA from 1 species